GAUGAACGCUGGCGGCGUGCCUAAUACAUGCAAGUCGAGCGAACAGAUGAGGAGCUUGCUCCUCUGACGUUAGCGGCGGACGGGUGAGUAACACGUGGAUAACCUACCUAUAAGACUGGGAUAACUUCGGGAAACCGGAGCUAAUACCGGAUAAUAUAUUGAACCGCAUGGUUCAAUAGUGAAAGACGGUUUUGCUGUCACUUAUAGAUGGAUCCGCGCCGCAUUAGCUAGUUGGUAAGGUAACGGCUUACCAAGGCAACGAUGCGUAGCCGACCUGAGAGGGGUAUUGGGCACACUGGGACCUAGGAACCGGUCAGGACUCUUCCGGGAGGCAGCGGUAGGGAACUUCCCGCAAGGGCGGAAAGCUUGACGGGGAACCGCGGGGGGAGUGAGAAGGGCCUCCGGUCGGUAAACCUUUUUAAUUGGGAAAGAAAAAUUGUGUAAUUAACUAGCACCGCCUGAAGGGAACCAAACAAAAAAGCCCCGCUAAACUAGGG
rnacentral:rRNA from 1 species